GGAGUCGCUCAACAGAGGAUUUCUCUCAAUUUUCAUCCCAAUUUCUUGCAAACAUGGGCAUAAAGGGUUUAACGAAGCUUUUAGCGGAUAAUGCUCCGAAGGCGAUGAAAGAACAUAAAUUCGAAAGCUUCUUCGGCCGCAAAAUCGCCAUUGACGCGAGCAUGAGCAUUUAUCAGUUCCUUAUUGUCGUUGGGCGAAGCGGCACUGAAAUGCUUACUAAUGAAGCUGGAGAAGUUACUAGUCAUUUGGUAGGAAUGUUCACGCGGACAAUUAGGCUUUUGGAAGCUGGAAUUAAGCCAGUCUAUGUGUUCGAUGGUAAGCCACCAGAUUUGAAGAAACAAGAGCUUGCUAAACGUUUUUCUAAGAGGGCAGAUGCAACGGAGGAUCUAGAUGAGGCUGUGGAGACUGGCAACAAGGAAGACAUUGAGAAAUUCAGUAAGAGGACAGUAAAGGUUACAAAACAACAUAAUGAGGACUGCAGGAAACUCCUUAGACUUAUGGGAGUACCUGUGAUUGAGGCCACUUCAGAAGCAGAGGCACAAUGUGCUGCACUUUGCAAAUCAGGAAAGGUUUAUGCUGUGGCCUCUGAAGACAUGGAUUCCUUAACUUUUGGAGCUCCAAAGUUUCUUCGACAUCUAAUGGACCCUAGCUCCAAAAAAAUCCCUGUGAUGGAAUUUGAAAUUUCCAAGGUUUUGGAGGAGUUGAACUUUACCAUGGAUCAAUUUAUAGACUUGUGCAUUCUUUGUGGAUGUGAUUAUUGUGACAGUAUUAGAGGUAUUGGUGGCCAGACAGCCUUAAAGCUCAUUCGCCAACAUGGCUCAAUAGAGAGCGUAAUCGAGAACAUAAACAGAGAAAGAUACCAAAUCCCAGAUGAUUGGCCAUAUCAAGAAGCUAGGAAGCUCUUCAAAGAACCAGAAGUUGUCACAGAUGAAAACCAACUUGAUUUCAAGUGGAAUGCUCCAGAUGAAGAAGGACUUAUAAACUUUUUGGUAAAAGAAAAUGGGUUCAGCAUCGACAGAGUUACAAAGUCAAUAGAAAAGAUCAAGGCAGCAAAGAACAAGUCUUCGCAGGGGAGAUUAGAAUCAUUCUUCAAACCAGUUGCUAACACAUCAGCGCCUCUUAAAAGAAAGGAAGCAGCGGAGAAAAUUGAAAAGGAGAAUACAAAUAAGAAGUCGAAGUCUGGUGGUGGAAAGAAGAAGAAAUAAGUCAUUUUUUUCCUUUGAAGUGCCAAAUUGGUUUGUGGAGCCAGUUCUAUGCUGGCAAGGUGAGGAAUUUCCAGAUGCCGCAACAAACUUGGGAUUUCCAGAUGGUGUGACAAACUUGUGUUUCUUGUUGUGCUGAAAAUGUCCGUCAAUGAGAUGUGUAAUAUGACUGCAGGAUGAUGUGUCUCUGGAUUGGUAGACCAUUUUGUCAUCUUGGCUUUACUUCUAGUGUACAGUUGUUCACAAUGUCAGAGAAUUUCGUCCUCUAACUGCUAGUCCUUUUGAAUAUCUAUCGAGAAUUGAGUCUAAAAAUUUUCAUACCAGGAAGGCAGUUGCUGUAGCCAUGUUAAAGACAAAAUGAUUUCCUCGCCAAAAUAUGCAAGUCCUAAGUUACGAA